rnacentral:rRNA from 1 species
UACAGAGGUCUCAAGCGUUGUUCGGAUUCAUUGGGCGUAAAGGGUGCGUAGGCGGCGCGGUAAGUCGGGUGUGAAAUCUCGGGGCUUAACUCCGAAACUGCAUUCGAUACUGCCGUGCUUGAGGACUGGAGAGGAGACUGGAAUUUACGGUGUAGCGGUGAAAUGCGUAGAUAUCGUAAGGAAGACCAGUGGCGAAGGCGGUUCUCUGGGACGGUACUGACGCUGAGACGCGAAAGCGUGGGGAGCGAACAGG